GUUUCCUGGUGUCCUAGCUUCUAUGGAACCACGCCAACCCAUCUCGAACUUGGCUGUGAAACGUAGGAGGGGGAAAGGUACUUUGGGGGUAGCCCCACGGAAGAGCACUCCGGUGCCGGGAAAC
rnacentral:rRNA from 1 species